rnacentral:pre_miRNA from 1 species
AAUAAGUGCAGCCAUGAAUAUCCGUGCCGAACGUUUGACCGUCCGUCUUAUUUGAAAAAUUUGAAAAUAUUUAGUCACACAUAAAGUACUAUUCAUGUUUUAUCAUCUAAUAGAAAUAAAAAUACUAAUCAUAAAAAAUUUUUAAAUAAGACGAACGGUCAAACGUUGAACGUAAAUAGUGUAAAACUGCACUUAUU